rnacentral:misc_RNA from 1 species
GAUGAAGAACGCAGCAAAAUGCGAUAAGUAAUGUGAAUUGCAGAAUUCAGUGAAUCAUCGAAUCUUUGAACGCACAUUGCGCCCUUUGGUAUUCCUUAGGGCAUGCCUGUUCGAGCGUCAUUUAAACCUUCAAGCUAAGCUUGGUGUUGGGUGACUGUCCGCUUCACUGCGGACUCGCCUCAAAAUUAUUGGCGGCCGGUACAUUGGCUUCGAGCGCAGCAGAAACGCGAACUCGGGCCCGUCGUAUUGGCUCCCAGAAGCUAUCUUCACAAUUUUGACCUCGGAUCAGGUAGGGAUACCCGCUGAACUUAAGCAUAUCAAUAAGCGGAGGA